AUGAGAAAAGAAUGAGUUAUUGGAAUAAGCCUUAGCAGUGUGUGGAUUGAAAAGCUUAUAUUUGGACCAGGGACGACUCUCACAGUUGAACCAAACAUUUCAAACACUUCUGACCCCCAAGUCAUUGUGAUGAAAUCAAAGAAACUGGAAGGAGUUGGCAGCUCUGGGAAAGCAGCUUGUUUGGCAAGGAACUCCACUACAAAGAACAUCAGAUUGGAGAUGCCCUCUCAGGAGGUGGUCUAUGAACAGAGCCCAUCCAUUUUGACGUCACAGGGGUUGUACAAUGCAAUUAAAGUGGUCAAGGUGACAAGAGACACAGAGGUGACCUGCAUGGCCAAAUUUGACGACCUCACGAUAACAGCAGAGCCAGGUACAGUUUGAACCAGAACAGAGUCAGGGGCCAGUGAGAGGGUUUGCAACAGCACAAACACCUCAGCACAAGCAGAUGCUGGAGGGCAGAGAGUGAACAUGCUGUCCAUGGCUGUGCUGGGUUUGAGAGUCCUGCUGGCAAAGAGCAUCGCCUUCAAUGCCCUCAUGAGCAUCAAGUUGUUUCUUUUCUGA